rnacentral:rRNA from 1 species
UACGUAGGGUGCGAGCGUUACUCGGAAUUACUGGGCGUAAAGCGUGCGCAGGCGAUUUUGUAAGUCAGAUGUGAAAGCCCCGGGCUCAACCUGGGAAUGGCAUUUGGGACUGCAAGGCUUGAGUGCGGCAGAGGAGACUGGAAUUCCUGGUGUAGCAGUGAAAUGCGUAGAUAUCAGGAGGAAUACCGAUGGCGAAGGCAGGUCUCUGGGCUGACACUGACGCUCAUGCACGAAAGCGUGGGGAGCAAACAGG